rnacentral:rRNA from 1 species
UGGGGGAUAUUGCACAAUGGGCGAAAGCCUGAUGCAGCGACGCCGCGUGGGGGAUGAAGGCUUUCGGGUUGUAAACCUCUUUCGCUAUCGAACAAGGCCCGCUUAGGGUGGGUUGAGGGUAGGUGGAGAAGAAGCGCCGGCUAACUACGUGCCAGCAGCCGCGGUAAUACGUAGGGCGCGAGCCUUGUCCGGCAUUAUUGGGCGUAAAGGGCUUGUAGGCGGCUUGUUGCGCCUGCUGUGAAAACGCGGGGCUUAACUUCGCGCGUGCAGUGGGUACGGGCAGGCUUGAGUGUGGUAGGGGUGACUGGAAUUCCAGGUGUAGCGGUGGAAUGCGCAGAUAUCUGGGGGGACACCGAUGGCGCAGGCAGGUCACUGGGCCAUUACUGACGCUGAGGAACGAAAGCAUGGGUAGCGAACAGG